rnacentral:lncRNA from 1 species
UUUUAUGCUAAUAUUUUAUAUUCACUUUUGUCUAGUCUAGUUUGAUUUUUGUAUAUUGAAUGAAAAGUUGUUGUGCCAAUGUGAUAAGUUUAAUGUUAUUUGGUAGUGUAUGAAUGACUAAACACAAACUUAUGUUGUUAUCUAUAUGUGUAUGUAUUGCUCAAUAAAAAAUAUUUAAAAAAACCGAACCAACCCAAACCAUAUUGGUUUGGUUUCUAAAAGCAAACUAAACCAAACCAAAUCGCAUGCUUUUUUCUCUUGCGGUUCAAAUCAUUUUUAGCAUCAAAA